UACCAGCACCCCGAGUGGUCGGGACGAUUAUUGGGCCUAAAGCAUCCGUAGCCGGUUCUACAAGUCUUCCGUUAAAUCCACCUGCUUAACAGAUGGGCUGCGGAGGAUACUAUAGAGCUAGGAGGCGGGAGAGGCAAGCGGUACUCAGUGGGUAGGGGUAAAAUCCGUUGAUCCAUUGAAGACCACCAGUGGCGAAGGCGGCUUGCCAGAACGCGCUCGACGGUGAGGGAUGAAAGCUGGGGGAGCAGACCGG
rnacentral:rRNA from 1 species